rnacentral:rRNA from 1 species
AACGCGAAGAACCUUACCUGGGCUCGAAAUGUGCAUGAAUCCGGCAGAAACGUCGGCGUCUCGCAAGAGACAUGUAUAUAGGUGCUGCAUGGCUGUCGUCAGCUCGUGUCGUGAGAUGUUGGGUUAAGUCCCGCAACGAGCGCAACCCUUAUCUUCAGUUGCUACCAUUUAGUUGAGCACUCUGACGAAACCGCCUCGGAUAACGGGGAGGAAGGUGGGGAUGACGUCAAGUCCUCAUGGCCUUUAUGUCCAGGGCUACACACGUGCUACAAUGGCCGGUACAAACCGCUGCAAACCCGCGAGGGGGAGCUAAUCGGAAAAAGCCGGCCUCAGUUCGGAUUGGAGUCUGCAACUCGACUCCAUGAAGCUGGAAUCGCUAGUAAUCGUGGAUCAGCAUGCCACGGUGAAUACGUUCCCGGGCCUUGUACACACCGCGCAUA